AAUUGACCUCGGAUCAGGUAGGGAUACCCGCUGAACUUAAGCAUAUCAAUAAGCGGAGGAAAAGAAACCAACCGGGAUUGCCUCAGUAACGGCGAGUGAAGCGGCAACAGCUCAAAUUUGAAAUCUGACCCCGUCGGGGUUCGAGUUGUAAUUUGUAGAGGAUGUUUCGGGCGCGAAGCCGGUCUAAGUCCCUUGGAACGGGGCGUCGUAGAGGGUGAGAAUCCCGUAUGUGACCGGCGAUCAAGCCUCUGUGAAACUCCUUCGACGAGUCGAGUUGUUUGGGAAUGCAGCUCAAAAUGGGUGGUAAAUUUCAUCUAAAGCUAAAUAUUGGCCAGAGACCGAUAGCGCACAAGUAGAGUGAUCGAAAGAUGAAAAGCACUUUGGAAAGAGAGUCAAAAAGUACGUGAAAUUGUUGAAAGGGAAGCGCUUGCAACCAGACCUGCCCGCGGGCGAUCAGCCGUCCCUUCCGGGGGCGGUGCACGCGCCCGCGAUCAGGCCAGCAUCGGUUCGGGCGGCCGGAUAAAGGCCCGGGGAACGUAGCUCCUCUCGGGGAGUGUUAUAGCCCCGGGUGCAAUGCGACCCGCCUGGACCGAGGACCGCGCUUCGGCUAGGAUGCUGGCGUAAUGGUUGUAAGCGGCCCGUCUUGAAACACGGACCAAGGAGUCUAACAUCCAUGCGAGUGUUUGGGUGUCAAACCCGUGCGCGUAAUGAAAGUGAACGGAGGUAGGAACCCAUAAGGGCGCACUAUCGACCGAUCCUGAUGUCUUCGGAUGGAUUUGAGUACGAGCAUGGCUGUUGGGACCCGAAAGAUGGUGAACUAUGCCUGAAUAGGGUGAAGCCAGAGGAAACUCUGGUGGAGGCUCGCAGCGGUUCUGACGUGCAAAUCGAUCGUCAAAUUUGGGUAUAGGGGCGAAAGUAAGUUACGAAUCUUCCAUUCUUCAGCCUGGCUGCCCGGAAGGAGUGGGGUUAGUGACGGACGAAGGGGUUGAAGCUCUUUUUCGGGUGGCUGGCCGGCUGGCUAUUGAUCUUUGGCUUCUAGAAAUCAAGUGCUAAUAUAAUAAUUUUUUUAGGACUAAUCGACCAUCUAGUAGCUGGGUCAGCCGAGU
rnacentral:rRNA from 1 species